AUGGCCAGUAACCUGAAAUUUGUUAUUGGGGCACUGAAAAUAUUAAUAGAAGAAGAUCAGGGAUGUAGAAAAGACUUCCAAGCUAUCUUUGAGCAGGCUAACAUUUUUCAAGACAAAUAUAAAGACAUGAACACAUACAAAGUGAAUAUGGAACAGAAACCUGAUGAAUCAAAUAAAGAAGGCACAUUUUUACCAUUGGCCCCAGAAGAAGAAUUAUUACUAGAACAAUUUAAAAUAAAACCUAAAGAGAUAAAAAAUGAAGAUUUAUCACCAGGGCAAUUAUUAGCCCAAGGGGAUUUCAAUUCAGGUGAGAAAAAUGAGGCCCGGAGAAGAUAUUCAGAUAGUUACCUUCCCAGCUGUGACUUCAUGGCUUCUGGCUCUAAAAUCAAGGCCAAAGAGACCCCAAUAAAAAAAGAAAAAGAAGAAGAUGAAAUAGUAGUGGAGGAAGAGAUUAUUAGCACUGGAAAACCUACAGAGGGAAAGGCUAAAAAGAGAUUUUCCUGGUUCCGCAAUAUCAAAGAACGCAAGCUGUGGAACUUCUUUCAUUUUAAAAAACAUGACAAACAAGUAAAGAAUGUGCACAAGUGGGAAGAAAUUGAUCAAGAGGUAUUGGAAGAUUACUGUCCUUAUUCUACUGAAGCCCCUAAAACAUUGCCAACAGAGUGGACAAAUAUUGAAGUUGGUAAUUGGUUAUGGAGCAUUGGAAUGGAGGAGUAUGUUGUAAAAUUUUAUUGUAAAGGAAUAACUGGUGAAAAACUCCUUACACUGGACAAUCACUCGCUAAAAGAAAUCGAAGUCAACAAGAAGAAAGACCGCCGGAAAAUACUUAAGGCUAUUAAGAAAGUUAGAGAUUUUUGGGAAAAAAAUCAUCAUUUCGUCUUAUUAUAGAAAUUGAUGGAAAGAAGACACAGAACCAGAAAGAUGGCAAAAAUGGAAAAUGCAAUUACUUUUGUUAUAUUGAAUUUUCAUCAUUUUACUUCUGUUACUUUUGUUAUAUGAACUUUUAAGGGAUUUUACUUCCAUGUUACUUUUGUUAUAUGAACUUUUAAUCAUUUUAUUACUGUUACUUUUGUUAUUAUUAACUUUUAAUUAUUUCACUUUCAUGUUACAUUUGUUAUAUGAACUUUUAAGGGAUUUUACUUCCAUGUUAUUUUUGUUAUUAUUAACUUUUAAUCAUUUCACUUCUAUGCUACUUUUUUAUAUGAACUUUUAAUCAUUUCACUUCUAUGUUACUUUUGUUAUAUGAACUUUUAAGGGAUUUUACAUCCAUGUUACUUUUGUUAUAUGAACUUUUAAGGAAUUUACUUCUAUGUUACUUUUGUUAUAUGAACUUUUAACGGAUUUUACUUCCAUGUUACUUUUGUUAUAUGAACUUUUAAGGGAUUUUACAUCCAUGUUACUUUUGUUAUAUGAACUUUUAAGGGAUUUUACUUCCAUGUUACUUUUGUUAUAUGAUCUUUUAAUCAUUUUAUUACUGUUACUUUUGUUAUUAUUAACUUUUAAUCAUUUCACUUCCAUGUUACUUGUUAUAUGAACCUUUAAUCAUUUUAUUACUGUUACUUUUUUUUAUUAAUUUUUAAUCAUUUCACUUUGGUGUUACAUUAGUUAUAUGAACCUUUAAGGGAUUUUACUUCCAUGUUACUUUUGUUAUAUGAACUUUUAAAGGAUUUUACUUGCAUGUUACUUUUGUUAUAUGAACUUUUAAGGGAUUUUACUUCCAUGUUACUUUUGUUAAAUGAACUUUUAAUCGUUUUAUUACUGUUACUUUUGCUAUCAUUAACUUUUAAUCAUUUUACUUCCAUGUUACUUUUGUUAUAUGAACUUUUAAGGGAUUUUACUUCCAUGUUACUUUUGUUAUAUGAACUUUUAAGGAAUUUACUUCUAUGUUACUUUUGUUAUAUGAACUUUUAAUCAUUUUAUUACUGUUACUUUUGCUAUUAUUAACUUUUAAUCAUUUCACUUUCAUGUUACUUUUGUUAUAUGAACUUUUAAGGGAUUUUAUAUCCAUGUUACUUUUGUUAUAUGAACUUUUAAGUGAUUUUACUUCCAUGUAACUUUUGUUAUAUGAACUUUUAAUGGAUUUUACUUCCAUGUUACUUUUGUUAUUAUUAAGUUUUUAAUCAUUUCACUUCUAUGUUACUUUUGUUAUAUGAACUUUUAAAGGAUUUUAUAUCCAUAUUUCUUUUGUUAUAUGAACUUUUUAGGAAUUUACUUCCAUGUUACUUUUGUUAUAUGAUCUUUUAAGGGAUUUUACUUCGAUGUUACUUUUGUUAUAUCACCUUUUAAGGGAUUUUACAUCCAUGUUACUUUUGUUAUAUGAUCUUUUAAUCAUUUCACUUUCAUGUUACUUUUGUUAUAUGAACUUUUAAUGGAUUUUACUUCCAUGUAACUUUUGUUAUAUGAACUUUUAGGGGAUUUUUUAUACAUGUUACUUUUAUUAUAUGAUCUUUUAAGGAAUUUACUUCUAUGUUACUUUUGUUAUAUGAACUUUUAAUCAUUUUAUUACUGUUACUUUUGCUAUUAUUAACUUUUAAUCAUUUCACUUUCAUUUUACUUUUGUCUAUAUGAACCUCUAGGGAUUUUACUUCCAUGUUACUUUUGUUAUUAUUAACUUUUAAUUGUUUCACUUCUAUGUUACUUUUGUUAUAUGAACUUUUAAGAGAUUUUACAUCCAUGUUACUUUUGUUAUAUGAACUUUUAAGGAAUUUACUUCCAUGUAACUUUUGUUAUAUGAACGUUUAAGGGAUUUUACUUCCAUAUUACUUUUGUUAUAUGAACUUUUAAGGGAUUUACUUCCAUGUUUCUUUUGUUAUAUGAACUUUUAAUCAUUUUAUUACUGUUACUUUUGUUAUUAUUAACUUUUAAUCAUUUCACUUCUAUGUUUCUUUUGUUUUAUUAUUAACUUUUAAUUAUUUCAUUUUUAAGUAAGUAUUAUUUUGAUAGAGGAUAAUUUUUGCACAGGUUAAUAAUUGUUACAUAUAACAUAUGAAAAAAUGGUUAUAAUAUGCACGUAUACUUUUUUAUAAGAACCAAUAUGGAAUUUCCUCCAUAUGACCAUAAUGUAAAAAGCAAUCAUUCUAAUCUAACAAAAUAUUUAGUUAUUUUUCCUUUUCAACUUUUCAUUGCCACUGCCACCAGCUUUAAGUCUCAAGUACUCUUUAUUGGUUCAUAAUCCCAGAGAACUCAAUAGGCUUUAGUCAAGCCCUCAUGAUGCUCUCUUACUUUUGUUUCAGAAUCUAUUUAAACAAAAGAAAUGCAUAUAAAAAUCUGUACAUAUUAUAGAUUUCCUGUAAGUGUAUAUAUUGUUCAUGAGAUCUCCUUAUUUACCUUACUUUUUUUUGUCAUAAUCCUCUCCAAAUCAUAUUUUAAGAGCUACAAAGUAUAGUUUUAUAUUCAUCACUCUCUUAUAGAAUUUAGUUUAAAUUUCUAUCAAAGUAUUUUAAAUAACAAUAAAAAUAACUUCAUAAAACCUCCCCCUUAAAAU
ensembl:lncRNA